GAUGAACGCUGGCGGCGUGCCUAAUACAUGCAAGUCGAGCGAACAGACGAGGAGCUUGCUCCUCUGACGUUAGCGGCGGACGGGUGAGUAACACGUGGAUAACCUACCUAUAAGACUGGGAUAACUUCGGGAAACCGGAGCUAAUACCGGAUAAUAUAUUGAACCGCAUGGUUCAAUAGUGAAAGACGGUCUUGCUGUCACUUAUAGAUGGAUCCGCGCUGCAUUAGCUAGUUGGUAAGGUAACGGCUUACCAAGGCGACGAUGCGUAGCCGACCUGAGAGGGUGAUCGGCCACACUGGAACUGAGACACGGUCCAGACUCCUACGGGAGGCAGCAGUAGGGAAUCUUCCGCAAUGGGCGAAAGCUUGACGGAGCAACGCCGCGUGAGUGAUGAAGGUCUUCGGAUCGUAAAACUCUGUUAUUAGGGAAGAACAAAUGUGUAAGUAACUAUGCACGUCUUGACGGUACCUAAUCAGAAAGCCACGGCUAACUACGUG
rnacentral:rRNA from 1 species